GUGAAGAAGGCCUUCGGGCUGUAAAGCCCUGUCAGGUGGGAAGAAGUGUACCUGGCUAAUAUCCAUGGUAUUUGACGGUACCACCAAAGGAAGCACCGGCUAACUCCGUGCCAGCAGCCGCGGUAAUA
rnacentral:rRNA from 1 species